AUUGAACGCUGGCGGCAGGCCUAACACAUGCAAGUCGAGCGGAUGAAGGGAGCUUGCUCCUGGAUUCAGCGGCGGACGGGUGAGUAAUGCCUAGGAAUCUGCCUGGUAGUGGGGGAUAACGUCCGGAAACGGGCGCUAAUACCGCAUACGUCCUGAGGGAGAAAGUGGGGGAUCUUCGGACCUCACGCUAUCAGAUGAGCCUAGGUCGGAUUAGCUAGUUGGUGGGGUAAAGGCCUACCCAGGCGACGAUCCGUAACUGGUCUGAGAGGAUGAUCGGUCACACUGGAACUGAGACACGGUCCAGACUCCUACGGGAGGCAGCAGUGGGGAAUAUUGGACAAUGGGCGAAAGCCUGAUCCAGCCAUGCCGCGUGUGUGAAGAAGGCCUUCGGAUUGUAAAGCACUUUAAGUUGGGAGGAAGGGCAGUAAGUUAAUACCUUGCUGUUUUGACGUUACCAACAGAAUAAGCACCGGCUAACUUCGUG
rnacentral:rRNA from 1 species